rnacentral:ncRNA from 1 species
GUAUGCUUGCGCACAUGAACCGCUUCCUGUCCGCUCUCCGACGUCGCCGCUCGCCGCUCCGCCCGGAUGCCGCCGGCUCGUCACGGACUCGCGCGUAACCCCCUACCCCGCUUCACCGGUUACGCACAAGCUGUUCGAACCACCCAGCCACGGCAUCACCCGUGGCUUUUUU